UUUUGUUUUUUUUCCUCUCCAUCCCCAUUAUCUUCUUAUUUGCCUCUCUUGUUUUCUCUCUGGUACCUUCUCAUUACUUUCUUCUAACUCUUCAUUAAUUGCAAGAUCUCUUCAUGAUGGUGCUUCUGUUCAUGCUUUAGAAUUCAUGGGAAACUUUCUUAUAGCGGAGUACUGCAGGAAAACCUUCCAUGUUAUUUACCUGAAAAAUAAUGAUUGUGAAUUUCACGAGGAUCGGCUUAGUUCUGGGAUAACCUUUAGUUGGUCUGCUGGCUUCAUUACUUGGACAGUAACAGAAUAUGUGAUCAUCAGGCUAUGUUUGGGAGAGUCUAGCAUAAAAAAUUCUGGUACACAGACACAGAAUUCCACCUUUAAUGUUGAUUUAGCCAUAGCUACCUGGAUUUUUUUGUAGGUAAGCAAGUAUAGAUUAUGUUGUCUGCGAUUUGUGAGAUUGUUAUGCAACAAGAGGACAUGAUAACUAAAAAUGAGAAUAAAUUUUAGUUCUUGUUGGAUACUUAUAAUGUUUUGAAAUGUGGAUUAAAUAAAAGAGAUCAUUUACAUUCUGUUCAUAUAUGUAGAUGCAGUAUGCAACUCUGCACUUCUUACACUGAAAUGAUGUUAUAUUUGUAGUGUUGUGUAUGACAGAGUUCUUGAAAAUUUAACAGAAUUCUUGAAAAAGUUGUCCUUGAUGAACAGGAGGGUAAUAACCAUAAGGGAUAUGGGCAGGUAGCAGCCUUUUUCCUGUGGGAUGUUUCUGAUCAGUAAAAAAAAAAAAAGCAUAGCCUUU